UGUAGGUUAGCUCAGUAGUAUAGCAUCUGCUUUACAUGCAGAAGGUCACAUGUUCAAUCUCUUAUAUCUUCAG